GUGCUCACUUUUUCAGUACUAACACUAAAAUUGGAAUGAUACAGAGACUAUUAGCCUCACCCCUGAGUAGGAAUGACAUGAAAAUUCAUGGAGCCUUCCAUACUUUU
ensembl:snRNA U6 U6 spliceosomal RNA